rnacentral:rRNA from 1 species
CCUACGGGAUGCAGCAGUGGGGAAUAUUGGGCAAUGGGCGCAAGCCUGACCCAGCAACGCCGCGUGAAGGAAGAAGGCUUUCGGGUUGUAAACUUCUUUUAAGAGGGAAGAGCAGAAGACGGUACCUCUUGAAUAAGCCACGGCUAACUACGUUCCAGCAGCCGGGGUAAUACGUAGGUGGCAAGCGUUGUCCGGAUUUACUGGGUGUAAAGGUCGUGUAGCCGGGCUGACAAGUCAGUUGUGAAAUCCCGUGGCUCAACCACGGAACUGCAUUUGAAACUGUCGGUCUUGAGUAUCGGAGAGGCAGGCGGAAUGCCUAGUGUAGCGGUGAAAUGCGUAGAUAUUAGGAGGAACACCAGUGGCGAAGGCGGCCUGCUGGACGACAACUGACGGUGAGGCGCGAAAGCGUGGGGAGCAAACAGGAUUAGAUACCCGAGUAGUC